rnacentral:rRNA from 1 species
AGGACGAACGCUGGCGGCGUGCUUAACACAUGCAAGUCGAGCGGAAAGGCCCUUCGGGGUACUCGAGCGGCGAACGGGUGAGUAACACGUGAGUAAUCUGCCCCUAGCUCUGGGAUAGCUCCGGGAAAACCGGGAUUAAUACCAGAUACGACCACUUUAGACAUCUGCUGUGGUGGAAAGAAUUUCGGCUAGGGAUGAGCUCGCGGCCUAUCAGCUUGUUGGUGAGGUAACGGCUCACCAAGGCGACGACGGGUAGCCGGCCUGAGAGGGCGACCGGCCACACUGGGACUGAGACACGGCCCAGACUCCUACGGGAGGCAGCAGUGGGGAAUAUUGCGCAAUGGGCGAAAGCCUGACGCAGCGACGCCGCGUGGGGGAUGAAGGCCUUCGGGUUGUAAACCCUUUCAGCAGGGACGAAGCGAAAGUGACGGUACCUGCAGAAGAAGCGCCGGCUAACUACGUGCCAGCAGCCGCGGUAA